rnacentral:rRNA from 1 species
ACGAACGCUGGCGGCGUGCCUAAUACAUGCAAGUUGAACGCAACAAAGACACCAGAGCUUGCUCUACCGUCUUUGUUGAGUAGCGAACGGGUGAGUAACGCGUGGGUAACCUGCCUUAUAGCGGGGGAUAACUAUUGGAAACGAUAGCUAAUACCGCAUAACAAUAGAGAUUGCAUAAUCUUUAUUUGAAAGUACCAACUGGUACACUAUGAGAUGGACCCGCGUUGUAUUAGCUAGUUGGUAGUGUAAUGGACUACCAAGGCGAUGAUACAUAGCCGACCUGAGAGGGUGAUCGGCCACAUUGGGACUGAGACACGGCCCAAACUCCUACGGGAGGCAGCAGUAGGGAAUCUUCGGCAAUGGACGAAAGUCUGACCGAGCAACGCCGCGUGAGUGAAGAAGGUUUUCGGAUCGUAAAACUCUGUUGUUAGAGAAGAAUGUUGAUUAGAGUGGAAAAUUAAUCAAGUGACGGUAUCUAACCAGAAAGGGACGGCUAACUACGUGCCAGCAGCCGCGGUAAUACGUAGGUCCCGAGCGUUGUCCGGAUUUAUUGGGCGUAAAGCGAGCGCAGGUGGUUUAAUAAGUCUGAUGUAAAAGGCAGUGGCUCAACCAUUGUGUGCAUUGGAAACUGUUAGACUUGAGUGCAGUAGAGGAGAGUGGAAUUCCAUGUGUAGCGGUGAAAUGCGUAGAUAUAUGGAGGAACACCGGUGGCGAAAGCGGCUCUCUGGACUGUCACUGACACUGAGGCUCGAAAGCGUGGGUAGCAAACAGGAUUAGAUACCCUGGUAGUCCACGCCGUAAACGAUGAGUGCUAGUUGUUUGGGGCUAUCCAGCCCUAAGUGACGCAGCAAACGCAUUAAGCACUCCGCCUGGGGAGUACGACCGCAAGGUUG